AAAAAAAAAAAAAAAAAAAAAAAAAAAAAAAAAAAAAAAAAAAAUC
rnacentral:ribozyme from 1 species